CAGUCGCCGCGGGAAUACGUAGGUGGCAAGCGUUGUCCGGAAUUAUUGGGCGUAAAGGGCUCGCAGGCGGUUUCUUAAGUCUGAUGUGAAAGCCCCCGGCUCAACCGGGGAGGGUCAUUGGAAACUGGGAAACUUGAGUGCAGAAGAGGAGAGUGGAAUUCCACGUGUAGCGGUGGAAUGCGUAGAGAUGUGGAGGAACACCAGUGGCGAAGGCGACUCUCUGGUAUGUAACUGACGCUGAGGAGCGAAAGCGUGGGGAGCGAACAGGAUUAGAUACCCCAGUAGUCCCUGUCUCUUAUAC
rnacentral:rRNA from 1 species